AGUGAACGCUGGCGGUAGGCCUAACACAUGCAAGUCGGACGGCAGCACAGUAAGAGCUUGCUCUUACGGGUGGCGAGUGGCGGACGGGUGAGGAGUACAUCGGAAUCUACUUUUUCGUGGGGGAUAACGUAGGGAAACUUACGCUAAUACCGCAUACGACCUACGGGUGAAAGCAGGGGAUCUUCGGACCUUGCGCGAUUGAAUGAGCCGAUGUCGGAUUAGCUAGUUGGCGGGGUAAAGGCCCACCAAGGCGACGAUCCGUAGCUGGUCUGAGAGGAUGAUCGGCCACACUGGAACUGAGACACGGUCCAGACUCCUACGGGAGGCAGCAGUGGGGAAUAUUGGACAGUGGGCGCAAGCCUGAUCCAGCCAUACCGCGUGGGUGAAGAAGGCCUUCGGGUUGUAAAGCCCUUUUGUUGGGAAAGAAAAGCAGCAGGUUAAUACCCCGCUGUUCUGACGGUACCCAAAGAAUAAGCACCGGCUAACUUCGUG
rnacentral:rRNA from 1 species